rnacentral:rRNA from 1 species
UACGUAGGGGGCAAGCGUUGUCCGGAUUUAUUGGGCGUAAAGAGCGUGUAGGCGGCCAUGUAGGUCCGUUGUGAAAACUCGAGGCUCAACCUCGAGACGCCGAUGGAAACCAUGUGGCUAGAGUCCGGAAGAGGAGAGUGGAAUUCCUGGUGUAGCGGUGAAAUGCGUAGAUAUCGUAAGGAAGACCAGUGGCGAAGGCGGGUCUCGUGGACAGUUCCUGACGCUGAGGCACGAAGGCCAGGGGAGCAAACGGG